GAUCUUUCAAUUGCCGGCGGUUGCCCCUAUAUUCCCCGGGUCGGAUUCGUCCGACUAUGGCGAUAAACGGUCGUCGGAAUAAGCCCAUCGGACCCGGGGGCGGUACCCGGCGCCUCCACCACAUGCCGCUGUGCUGCGGCGGCAUCUGAUGGGGGCGAAAUAGGAUCGACGAGGGUGUAAAGGGCGCGCUUUCGCUCGGCAUGGUUCCGCCGUCAUCGGGCCACCAGAAUAGUUGCCAACGACAACUAUGCUGAGGCUGCUCUCGCUGCGUAAGCGGCGCGAAAGCCUGAACUCAAGCCCUGUCGUCUAGCCACGGCAGGCGCGGUUUCGGAGGGCACCGGGCAACAGAAGCCCUCCACU
rnacentral:tmRNA from 1 species